AGACCCGAAACCCGGUGAUCUAGCCAUGGGCAGGUUGAAGGUUGGGUAACACUAACUGGAGGACCGAACCGACUAAUGUUGAAAAAUUAGCGGAUGACCUGUGGCUGGGGGUGAAAGGCCAAUCAAACCGGGAGAUAGCUGGUUCUCCCCGAAAGCUAUUUAGGUAGCGCCUCGUGAAUUCAUCUCCGGGGGUAGAGCACUGUUUCGGCUAGGGGGCCAUCCCGGCUUACCAACCCGAUGCAAACUGCGAAUACCGGAGAAUGUUAUCACGGGAGACACACGGCGGGUGCUAACGUCCGUCGUGAAGAGGGAAACAACCCAGACCGCCAGCUAAGGUCCCAAAGUCAUGGUUAAGUGGGAAACGAUGUGGGAAGGCCCAGACAGCCAGGAUGUUGGCUUAGAAGCAGCCAUCAUUUAAAGAAAGCGUAAUAGCUCACUGGUCGAGUCGGCCUGCGCGGAAGAUGUAACGGGGCUAAACCAUGCACCGAAGCUGCGGCAGCGAACGUAUCACCCAAGACAACUUUACGGAGUUGACGAUUGACGGAGCGAAGCGACGUCAAAGCGUUCAUUAAAGUCGAGUUGGCUUAGGGAUACGUU
rnacentral:rRNA from 9 species